GAGCAAGGACGCCUAAAAAAAGUGACGAAACUUGCAUUGAAGGUUGGCAAAAACAAACCAAUAUUCUGCGAUUCUCCGUGCCUAUCAAAUCUCUUGAUUUUGAAUACGGCCUCGAACAAAUCGCUACAUA